CAGUCGAACGGAGCUUAGAGAGCUUGCUUUUUAAGCUUAGUGGCGAACGGGUCAGUAACGCGUGAGUAACCUGCCCUAGAGUGGGGGACAACAGUUGGAAACGACUGCUAAUACCGCAUAAGCCCACGGUACCGCAUGGCACUGAGGGAAAAGGAUUUAUUCGCUUUAGGAUGGACUCGCGUCCAAUUAGCUAGUUGGUGAGGUAACGGCCCACCAAGGCGACGAUUGGUAGCCGGACUGAGAGGUUGAACGGCCGCAUUGGGACUGAGACACGGCCCAGACUCCUACGGGAGGCAGCAGUGGGGGAUAUUGCACAAUGGGGGAAACCCUGAUGCAGCGACGCCGCGUGGAGGAAGAAGGUUUUCGGAUUGUAAACUCCUGUCGUUAGGGACGAUAAUGACGGUACCUAACAAGAAAGCACCGGCUAACUACGUGCCAGCAGCCGCGGUAAAACGUAGGGUGCAAGCGUUGUCCGGAAUUACUGGGUGUAAAGGGAGCGCAGGCGGGAAGACAAGUUGGAAGUGAAAACCAUGGGCUCAACCCAUGAAUUGCUUUCAAAACUGUUUUUCUUGAGUAGUGCAGAGGUAGAUGGAAUUCCCGGUGUAGCGGUGGAAUGCGUAGAUAUCGGGAGGAACACCAGUGGCGAAGGCGGUCUACUGGGCACCAACUGACGCUGAGGCUCGAAAGCAUGGGUAGCAAACAGGAUUAGAUACCCUGGUAGUCCAUGCCGUANACGAUGAUUACUAGGUGUUGGGGGNUUGACCCCCU
rnacentral:rRNA from 1 species